rnacentral:rRNA from 1 species
GAUGAACGCUGGCGGCGUGCCUAAUACAUGCAAGUCGAGCGAACAGAUAAGGAUCUUGCUCCUUUGACGUUAGCGGCGGACGGGUGAGUAACACGUGGAUAACCUACCUAUAAUACUGGGAUAACUUCGGGAAACCGGAGCUAAUACCGGAUAACAUAUUGAACCGCAUUGUUCAAUAGUGAAAUGCGGCUUUUCUGUCACUUAUAGAUGGAUCCUCGCCGUAUUAGAUAGUUGGUAAGGUAACGGCUUACCAAGGCAACGAUACGUAGCCGACAUGAGAGGGGGAGCGGCAAAACUGGAACUGAGACACGGUCAAGACUACUACGGGAGGCAGCAGUAGGGAAUAUUACGCAAUGGGCGAAAGCAUGACGGAGAAACGCCGCGUGAGUGAUGAAGGUCUACGGAUCGUAAAACUCUGUUAUAAGGGAAGAAAAAAUGUGUAAGUAAAUGUGCACAGCUUGACGGUACCUGAUAAGAAAGCAACGGCUAACUACGUG